rnacentral:rRNA from 1 species
UGCAGAAUCCCGUGAACCAUCGAGUCUUUGAACGCAGGUUGCGCCCGAAGCCUUUAGGCCGAGGGCACGCCUGCCUGGGCGUCA